rnacentral:rRNA from 1 species
UACGUAGGGUGCGAGCGUUAAUCGGAAUUACUGGGCGUAAAGUGUGCGCAGGCGGCCGCGCAAGUCGAGUGUGAAAUCCCCGAGCUUAACUUGGGAAUUGCGCUCGAAACUACGUGGCUGGAGUGUGGCAGAGGAAGGUGGAAUUCCACGUGUAGCGGUGAAAUGCGUAGAGAUCUGGAGGAACACCGGUGGCGAAGGCGGCAUCCUGGACCGGCAUUGACGCUGAGGCGCGAAAGCCAGGGGAGCAAACGGG